rnacentral:misc_RNA from 1 species
UCCGGUUUGUCACCGGCAGUCUGGCGUGAGUCCCCAACUUAAUGCUGGCAACACGCCACGGGGGUUGCGCUCGUUGCGGGACUUAACCCAACAUCUCACGACACGAGCUGACGACAGCCAUGCAGCAUCUGUGGUGCACCCUCGAAGGUCACACGUUUCCGUGCGCUUGCAGCACCAUGUCAAGCCCAGGUAAGGUGGGGAUGACGUGUCGUUACCUUA